AGUAGAAUGGCUGAGGUUUAGGUAAUAAAUUGUAAAUUUAUUAAGGAAUAAUAUUAUUCUUCUGCUA
rnacentral:tRNA from 1 species